rnacentral:rRNA from 1 species
GAUGAACGCUGGCGGCGUGCCUAAUACAUGCGAGUCGAGCGAACAGACGAGGAGCUUGCUCCUCUGACGUUAGCGGCGGACGGGUGAGUAACACGUGGAUAACCUACCUAUAAGACUGGGAUAACUUCGGGAAACCGGAGCUAAUACCGGAUAAUAUAUUGAACCGCAUGGUUCAAUAGUGAAAGACGGUUUUGCUGUCACUUAUAGAUGGAUCCGCGCCGCAUUAGCUAGUUGGUAAGGUAACGGCUUACCAAGGCACCGAUGCGUAGCCGACCUGAGAGGGUGAUCGGCCACACUGGGACUGAGACACGGUCCAGCCUCCUACGGGAGGCAGCAGUAGGGAAUCUUCCGCAAUGGGCGAAAGCCUGACGGAGCAACGCCGCGUGAGUGAUGAAGGUCUUCGGAUCGUAAAACUCUGUUAUUAGGGAAGAACAAAUGUGUAAGUAACUAUGCACGUCUUGACGGUACCUAAUCAGAAAGCCACGGCUAAAUCCGUGC